CAACUGAAGAGUUUGAUCCUGGCUCAGAUUGAACGCUGGCGGCAUGGCUAAAACAUGCAAGUCGCACGAGAACCCCUUCGGGGGGGACAGUGGCGAAAGGGCGAGGAAUACAAUCGAACGUACCCCGAGGUGGGGGAUAGGUCGUGGAAACGCGGCGUAAUACCCCAUGUGCUCUCCGGAGGAAAGCUUUGGCGCCUUGGGAGCGGCGAUUGUCCUAUCAGGUAGUUGGUGAGGUAACGGCUCACCAAGCCGAAGACGGGUAGCGGGCGUGAGAGCGUGGCCCGCCGCAUCGGGACUGAGACACUGCCCGGACUCCUACGGGAGGCUGCAGUAACGAAUCUUCCGCAAUGGGCGAAAGCCUGACGGAGCAAUGCCGCGUGUGGGAUGA
rnacentral:rRNA from 1 species